CGCAGGCUGCACAGCUUGGGCAGCCAGGUCCACGAGCCAUCUGCAGGGGGACAGGGCAGUCAGGUGGCCAGGCUGGGCCAGGAGUGGUGCCCGCAGCGGCGCGAGGCACUCACCAUAGCGCCGACCAGCCCUCCAGGCGCGUACAGCGCAGUGCAGAACGCCGUCCAUCCACACCAGGAACCAACUGAUGCAGAAACCCAGCAGCAGGCCCAGCAUAAGGAGGAGUGAGCCACCUGAUGGUCCACUCCACAGAGCCAGCAGUCUUUAUGUCGGGAUCCACCGGUCUGGAUACGAAGGGUGCCAUGGGACCACAUGCUUUGCAUCUCUCAUUUUCCUGACAGUCGCAGGGGCUGACUGGGCUUCUGCUGAGCCUGCCUUUCUUGGCCCACCCACUUUCAGAGCCACUAGUGGGUGGGCCUUUCCACUGCCCACCAUGUCUGCUAAGAGCUCCAGCUGCCUGUGAAUCUCCACGUGGGAUCUACAGACACCUCAAAUGUAUGCUGAAAAUAGCUUCUCGCUUCCUAAACUUGCACCCCUUCCUCCUCUCAGUGAGAGGCUGGAACCUGUGUCUGCCGGUAGCAGACGUUGAGCCACUCCCCAGUUAAAAACUCUUCCUCUCUCUCUGGGCCCAGUAAGAAACACAUGGGUGUUUCUUCACAGUGGAGUUGGUAUUUUUAAACCUGAACCCAGGUUAGCAGGGAUUGGGAGGAGCAGCAGUGAGACUCCUCAGAUCCCCUGGGGGCUAACUCCGCGGUCUACAGUUUGGCCAAUCCCAGUGGGCAAAGCUCAGGCUGCAGCUCUCAGUUGGUCACCGGAGCUACCGUGACUGACACCCAGCAGCCGUCCCUUGCUCAUGGCAGCCACUGCCAUCGUGAUGAAUGGAUGCUGUUGAUCCUGCACAGAAAGUAUUGCUGACCAGGAGGCCCUGGAGGAGGUAGUGUUUCCACACCAUCAGGGACUGCCAGGCACUGGUGGGACUAGGUCAACCUGGGACCCAUGUCCUUCCUCUGAACUAGCCCUAACAGAGCUGUUCCAGGAAACAGAAAGAAACUAGAAGGAUUCUAGGUAGCCUACGAGUAGAGCAAUGUGAGGCCCCAGCCACCCUGUGACCUAAGGAAUCCAGGGGUUAAAGGCCCUGUGCCCUUACAAUUAACUUGGAUAUCUAGAAUGCUUCCUCCCCUGGCCUGGCUCCUCCUAAUUCUAUACCAAGCUCCUGAGGGCAGGGGCUCAG
rnacentral:lncRNA from 1 species